GAAAAAGAAAACCAACUUAUUUUCUCUCUUUCAUAACUUCUUUUUCCAUUUCUCUUUUGUAAUCCAGUUGGACAUGAGGAUCCAAACUGCUUCAUACUUGUUUAUCUUAUUCCUAAUCCUUUUAGCACAGAUCCAUAUAACCACUUGCAGGCAUAUAAAAGGUGCAGCAAAUGAGGAAAAUGAUCAAAGAAUAAGAGAGAAAUUCUUUUCCACUUUCUUGAGGUAUUUCAACACAAUUCCACACUAUGCAGAAUUGAAGGAAAACAAGGGCAAGAAAGCGCAUAUCGUGUCGCACCGGGUUGUCCCUUGCAGGCCGAAUCCACUCCAUAACUAAAAUUCUUUUCCAGGAGGAAGCUGGAUUUUUGGAAGUUCUUUUGGAUUAUCACAUGGGUCGUGGCAGAAAAAGAUUCAUAUACUCAACGUCAAAUAUAUCCAAAAGAAGGCUUUGCUGAUUUUUGUAUAUGUCGUAUGAAGAAAUUUUUGGAAAUAGAUGUUUAUACUUUAUAAGUUAUACUUUUCAAUUUUCAUGAGUUUGUGUGGUUCUUUGUGAAGUAAUCCUUAUCCUUUAUGAAGCGUGUUGAAUUCGAUUUUUGAAGGGCUUUAGCUACGUAGAGUCGAGAGAAGACUUUUUUUUUUUUUUCGAAAUAUAUCAUAAAUAAAUCUUUUGCUUUACACCAAUAAGGAAUUUUUAUCUAUUCAACUACUCCUCUUGAUCGGCGUUCCUAUCAGAAUGCCUUCAUUUUCG
rnacentral:lncRNA from 1 species